GAUGAGCGCUAGCUACAGGCUUAACACAUGCAAGUCGAGGGGUAACGAGAGGAAAGCUUGCUUUCCUUGUCGACGACCGGCGCACGGGUGAGUAACGCGUAUCCAACCUGCCCCCAACUAGGGAAUAACCUUGCGAAAGUAAGACUAAUACCCUAUAAUUUCCUCAGAUGUCAUCUGACGAGGAAUAAAGUUUUACGGGUUGUGGAUGGGGAUGCGUCAGAUUAGCUUGUUGGCGGGGUAACGGCCCACCAAGGCAACGAUCAGUAGGGGUUCUGAGAGGAAGGUCCCCCACAUUGGAACUGAGACACGGUCCAAACUCCUACGGGAGGCAGCAGUGAGGAAUAUUGGUCAAUGGGCGGAAGCCUGAACCAGCCAAGUAGCGUGCAGGAUGACGGCCCUAUGGGUUGUAAACUGCUUUUAUACAGGAAUAAAGUUAGCCACGUGUGGUUAUUUGUAGGUACUGUAUGAAUAAGGACCGGCUAAUUCCGUGCCAGCAGCCGCAGUAA
rnacentral:rRNA from 1 species